rnacentral:tRNA from 1 species
CGGGCCGUGGCCUAGAGGCUCAAGGCGCAUGCAUGGGGUGCAUGAGAUCGCGAGUUCAAAUCUCGCCGGCCCGA